UAGAGUUUGAUCCUGGCUCAGAACGAACGCUGGCGGCAGGCUUAACACAUGCAAGUCGAACGGUCUCUUCGGAGGCAGUGGCAGACGGGUGAGUAAUGCAUGGGAAUCUACCGUUCUCUACGGAAUAACUCAGGGAAACUUGUGCUAAUACCGUAUACGCCCUUUUGGGGAAAGAUUUAUCGGAGAAUGAUGAGCCCAUGUUGGAUUAGCUAGUUGGUAGGGUAAAGGCCUACCAAGGCGACGAUCCAUAGCUGGUCUGAGAGGAUGAUCAGCCACACUGGGACUGAGACACGGCCCAGACUCCUACGGGAGGCAGCAGUGGGGAAUAUUGGACAAUGGGCGCAAGCCUGAUCCAGCCAUGCCGCGUGAGUGAUGAAGGCCCUAGGGUUGUAAAGCUCUUUCACCGGUGAAGAUAAUGACGGUAACCGGAGAAGAAGCCCCGGCUAACUUCGUGCCAGCAGCCGCGGUAAU
rnacentral:rRNA from 1 species